rnacentral:rRNA from 1 species
CCUAACACAUGCAAGUCGAAGGAGAAGGAGAUUGCUUGCAAUCUCUGGAGACUGGCGGACGGGUGAGUAACGCGUAGAUAACCUGCCUUUGCCUGGGGGAUAACACUGGGAAACUGGUGCUAAUACCGCAUAAUGCAGCGGGGCCGCAUGGCCAUAGUUGUUAAAGGUUUCGGCCGGGUAAAGAUGGGUCUGCGUGCUAUUAGCUAGUUGGUGCGGUAACGGCGCACCAAGGCGAUGAUAGCUAGGGGGUCUGAGAGGAUGAUCCCCCACACUGGGACUGAGACACGGCCCAGACUCCUACGGGAGGCAGCAGUGAGGAAUCUUGCGCAAUGGGCGAAAGCCUGACGCAGCCACGCCGCGUGCCGGAAGACGGCCCUAUGGGUUGUAAACGGCUUUUGCCAGGGAAGAAAGCCCGGGGUUUGCCCUGGAUUGACGGUACCUGGUGAAUAAGCACCGGCUAACUCCGUGCCAGCAGCCGCGGUAAUACGGAGGGUGCAAGCGUUGUCCGGAAUCAUUGGGUGUAAAGGGUGCGUACGCGGACUGCUAAGUCUGGGGUGAAAUCUUGCCGCUUAACGGUAAAAUGGCCUUGGAUACUGGCAGUCUUGAGUGUAGAAGAGGCAGGUGGAAUUCGUAGUGUAGCGGUGA